AACGAACGCUGGCGGCAGGCUUAACACAUGCAAGUCGAGCGCCCCGCAAGGGGAGCGGCAGACGGGUGAGUAACGCGUGGGAAUCUAACCAUCACUACGGAACAAAUCCGGGAAACUGGAGAUCAUACCGUCUACGUCCUUCGGGAGCAAGAUUUAUCGGUGAUGGAUGAGCCCGCGUUGGAUUAGCUAGUGUGUGCGGUAAUGGCCCACCAAGGCGACGAUCCAUAGCUGGUCUGAGAGGAUGAUCAGCCACACUGGGACUGAGACACGGCCCAGACUCCUACGGGAGGCAGCAGUGUGGAAUAUUGGACAAUGGGCGCAAGCCUGAUCCAGCCAUGCCGCGUGAGUGAUGAAGGCCCUAGGGUUGUAAAGCUCUUUCACCGGUGAAGAUAAUGACGGUAACCGGAGAAGAAGCCCCGACUAACUUCGUUCCAGCCGCCGCGGUAA
rnacentral:rRNA from 1 species